UACGAGGGGUGCAAGCGUUGCUCGGAAUUAUUGGGCGUAAAGGGUAGGUAGGUGGUCUGUUAUGUCGGAUGUGAAAGCCCUUGGCUUAACCGAGGAAGUGCAUCCGAAACUGGCAGGCUAGAGUACUAAAGAGGGUCGCGGAAUUCCCGGUGUAGAGGUGAAAUUCGUAGAUAUCGGGAGGAACACCGGUGGCGAAGGCGGCGACCUGGGUAGAUACUGACGCUGAGGUGCGAAAGCGUGGGGAGCAAACAGG
rnacentral:rRNA from 1 species